UGGGCGUCGUGUGCUGCGUCUCUCCUGUCAAUGCUUUCCCAUCAUAUAGAUAGGUUUGCAUUGUGUGGAUGUGAAAGAUUGGCCCCUUGUGCCUAGGUGCGGUGGGUCUAAGAACUUAAUGUUUUGAUGGUUCGAAACCUGGCAGGAGGUGGAGGAUGUUGGCAGCUAUA
rnacentral:rRNA from 1 species